rnacentral:misc_RNA from 1 species
AACACUGUUAACCUGCGGUACCUGCGGAGGGAUCAUUUGAGAAUCGGUCGGCCGGGCCCAGGCAACCUGUUGCUCUGGCCAGCCACGGACCUACCCUUCAGCCCGUGGAAACGAGCCGUGCUCCGGCGCCCCUCUGUGGCGCCGCCUUUAUGCUGUCUGGCUUGUCUUGUCUGUUAUGAAAAGAGAAAUCAAAACUUUCAGCAAUGGAUCU